AACGAACGCUGGCGGCAGGCCUAACACAUGCAAGUCGAGCGAAGCCUUCGGGCUUAGCGGCGGACGGGUGAGUAACGCGUGGGAACGUGCCCUUUGGUACGGAAUAGCCCCGGGAAACUGGGAGUAAUACCGUAUGUGCCCUUAGGGGGAAAGAUUUAUCGCCAAAGGAUCGGCCCGCGUUGGAUUAGGUAGUUGGUGGGGUAAUGGCCUACCAAGCCGACGAUCCAUAGCUGGUUUGGGAGGAUGAUCAGCCACACUGGGACUGAGACACGGCCCAGACGCCUACGGGAGGCAGCAGUGGGGAAUCUUAGACAAUGGGGGAAACCCUGAUCUAGCCAUGCCGCGUGAUCGAUGAAGGCCUUAGGGUUGUAAAGAUCUUUCAGUGGGGAAGAUAAUGACUGUACCCACAGAAGAAGCCCCGGCUAACUCCGUGCCAGCCGCCGCGGUAAGAC
rnacentral:rRNA from 1 species